rnacentral:rRNA from 1 species
UACGUAGGCAGCAAGCGUUGUUCGGAAUUACUGGGCGUAAAGAGUGUGUAGGCGGUGCUCUAAGUUCGGUGUGAAAUCUCCCGGCUCAACUGGGAGGGUGCGCCGGAAACUGGAAUGCUUGAGCGUGGGAGAGGAAAGCGGAAUUCCUGGUGUAGCGGUGAAAUGCGUAGAGAUCGGAAAGAACACCAACGGCGAAAGCACUCUGCUGGGCCGACACUGACACUGAGAGACGAAAGCUAGGGGAGCGAAUGGG